GACGAACGCUGGCGGCGUGCUUAACACAUGCAAGUCGAACGAAGACCGAUGGACGCUUGCUUCUCUCACUCUUAGUUGCGACCGGGUGAGUAACGCGUAAUCAACCUGCCCUUCAUAUGUGGACAACAGUUGGAAACGACUGCUAAUACCGCAUACGAUCUAAUCUCUGCAUCGAGGAUAGAUGAAAAGUGGCCUCUACAUGUAAGCUAUCACUCAAGGUAGGGAUUGCGUCUGAUUAGCUAGUUGGAGGGGUAACGGCCCACCAAGGCGAUGAUCAGUAGCGGGUCUGAGAGGAUGAGCGGCGACAUUGGGACUGAGACACGGCCCAGACUCCUACGGGAGGCAGCAGUGGGGAGUCGUCCGCGAUGGACGAAAGUCUGACGGAGCAACGCCGCGUGAGUGAUGACGGCCGUCGGGUUGUAAAGCUCGGUUAAUCGGGACGAAAGGCCUUCUUGCGAAUAGUGAGAAGGAUUGACGGUACCGGAAUAGAAAGCCACGGCUAACUACGUG
rnacentral:rRNA from 1 species